rnacentral:rRNA from 1 species
UAGUGUCGGAGAGAAGUUGUUAGGCAAGCUGCCUGGGAAGUACGAUCGCAAGAUUGAAACUUAAAGGAAUUGGCGGGGGAGCACAGCAACGGGUGGAGCGUGCGGUUUAAUUGGAUUCAACGCCGGAAAACUCACCGGAAGCGACGGUUACAUGAAGGCCAGGCUGAUGACCUUGCCUGAUUUUCCGAGAGGUGGUGCAUGGCCGCCGUCAGUUCGUACCGUAAGGCGUUCUGUUAAGUCAGAUAACGAACGAGACCCUCAUCCUUAAUUGCUACUGAUAACUUUGGUUGUCAGGCACAUUAAGGAGACCGCUGGCGAUAAGUCAGAGGAAGGCGAGGGCAACGGUAGGUCAGUAUGCCCUGAAUCUUCCGGGCUACACGCGCGCUACAAAGGCCAGGACAAUGGGCUUCAACACCGAAAGGUGACGAUAAUCUCUAAACCUGGUCAUAGUUCGGAUUGAGGAUUGCAACUCAUCCUCAUGAAGCUGGAAUCCGUAGUAAUCGCGGAUCAACAUCCCGCGGUGAAUAUGCCCCUGCUCCUUGCACACACCGCCCGUCAAACCAUGCGAG